AAGAGUAGCUGUCUUAAGACAGCUUAAAGUCAUUAUUUCGAAAAGCAUGAGUUCUUCUAAAAAUUGCAAGCAUUAUUCUUUGAAAAUUUCGCUGGUGGCAUUAGUUAUAUGAUUCAAGCUCUCCCUCAACACUACACAUCUAUACCCCUCUAUCCUCAUCCCUUUACCCGACGUUUGUCUCUUUCUUUCUCCCACUCACGAACCCGAGGUACGCUCGCUCAUUCAAGCUCGACCCCAGUCGACUCGCCAACGAUUCAGUCGCGGUCGACCCGCCACGCUGCGAGCUUUGCUGAGUACGCGUCUGCUCCAAGGUGCCUUUUUCUCUCCUUCAUUCGUCUCUGCUUCUCCUAUGUUUUCUCCUGUAUCUCUAUUUGAUCACCUCCGUCUUCCUAUUGCACUAUAUUCUCUCCUUCACUCUCUUUUUUUCUCUGGGUUUCAUCUCAUUCCGAUCGAGUCAUCGUUCUUUAAGAAAGAUAAUGCAGUUCUCUUAAAGGAGCAACGAGAUUUCUGUUUAAUUCAUCAACUGAAGGAAAACGAACUCGCGAACCAGGAUUUGUUUGAUAUAUCUCCAUGGUGAAGGAGAGAAAGAAAAAGACAAAACGCUGUGUGGACGGAAGUGAGAGAUAAUCGCAAAAUUGACUUGAAGGUUCGAAAAUCUUUGGAGCUUGCUCCGCCGCAAUUCAUCGAGAGCUUGGACUCGUAUGCGACAGCGCAGCGGAUCUUGACAAUUUUCUUACAUUGCGAAUGCGCCGAUGAGAACUCGUCCCUGGAAUCACAGCGAACUUGUAAUGAAUCGCUCUGAUGUACGAGCAAACGAAUGUCGAGUGGCCGAAUAUGUCGCGAAUUCAUGUAAAGAGAAAUCAUGACCGUGGAAAAAGGACGUUAGAAUGUAUCAUCGACGACUAUCACAUUGUGCGGCUUCGCUCAAACGCGGAAACGAGCUCUUUCGAUCACGUCGGCUUCCGUUUAUGCCUAAUAAUUAAUUUAAGAUUACGGAAGAAAACUCUUAUACAAUAGUGUAUGUAUGAAUGUUUUUCAUCAAGAAAUAUAUAUCCACGAAGAGACAAGAAAAGGGGCGCGAGGAUCGUGACAGCCUCAAAGAUCGACGCAUCCGGAGAUGUUCCUCGAGGGCUGCGCGGUCCAGGGCUGGACGACUCACUUGCGUAAAAGGAUGUAUGUGCUGUCAAUAUGUGACUCGGUGAGCAACGCGCUGCGAUAAUGGAGUGAUUCGGUAGUCGUGAUAACGCCUAUGGUACACGUGCGCGAAUGCCAACAGAUACGAGGGAGUCCUGUGAGAACGUGCUGCGUCAGGUACUUGACGCUUGACAGAACCAAUUUUACUGGAAAUUGCGAGGGAUUGCAAGUGGAGAUCCGAAAACUUAUAUAAUAUUAUGGCUAAAACUAAAAAGACGCAAAUAAAAAAACGUGCUGAAAAUUGGAACACAGAGUCCAUGGAAGCUGCUCUUAAAGCAGUUGAACGGAAUAAACUCUCACAGAGAGCCAUUUGCGAAAGGUAUGGAAUUCCUGGUAGGAAUCAUAUGAAAUCUGGUACAAAGCGUCUAGAACGAAAGAGUAUUCUUACCAUAGAGCAAGAGAAAGAUUUAUCACAGCGGAUUUUGCGGAGGCAGAUAUUGGCUUACCUAUAACUUUGAAGAUGUUAAAAUAUCAGGUAUACAAGUUUUGCACAUUACAUGAAAUUUCUCAUACGUUUAACACUAUUAUGUGCACAGCAGGCAAAUCAUGGCUUGCAGAUUUCUAAAACGCAAUCUUGAAAUUUCGAAAAGGAAAGCGCAAUUUAUGAACCAAGCUCGUGCUCAAAAAUUGAACAAAUUUAUUGUAAAAGACCACUUUGAAAAGCUUAAUAACCUUUUGACAGAACUAGAUAUAAAAUUUAACCCGGAAAGGAUUUUCAACAUGGACGAAAAAGGUUAUAGAUUAACAAUGCAUCAUCAAUUGUUUUAACUCAAAAAACCGCCAAACGCAUCCACUUCACCGCAAACGAACAUGCUGAAAAUGUCACUGUAGUUGAUUGUGUGUCAGCUGUAGAUCGUGAUCCCACCAUGAUUAUCUUUAAAGGUAAACGCGAAAAGCCAGAGUUCACUGAUAAUUUACCAUCAGGAAGCAUAAUAAGUAUGGCACCAAAAGAUUUCAUGACUACUGAGCUUUUUAUAAAAUUCUUGAAUCACUUUGCUUCUUUCAAAUUUGCUGGAAAUAUUUUGCUUGUUUUUGAUGUCUCUCACCUUGAUUACACAAUUGUGGAAGCCGCUGACAAACAUGAUAUUGUAUUGUAUUGUUUACCAUCCAACACCACCCAUGAAUUACAACCACUUGACAAAUCAGUUUAUAGAUUUUUUGAUCAUUAUUGAGAUCAGGAAUUUCUAAAAUAUCAAGAUAAACAUCCAGAUAGAAAAUUCAACAAAACGAGUUUCAAUAUAGUGUUCUAAGAAAUGUGGUCAAAAUACAUGACACAAUCUAAUGUAACAAAUGGAUUUAGAACUGUAGAUUUGAUCCUGAAGCCAUUCCAGAUUCUGCUUUUGCUCCAUCAAUUCUAAUAGAGCGUCCAACAAUAAAAAAUCAAACUCCAAACAUAGCGAUAAAUUCAUUAAUAAUCAGUGAUGAUGAAGACAUUCCGUUAGCCGAAUUAUUAAA